rnacentral:rRNA from 1 species
GAUGAACGCUAGCGGCAGGCCUAAUACAUGCAAGUCUAGGGGGCAGCAAUGUCACCGGCGCACGGGUGCGUAACACGUAUGCAACCUACCUUCUUCAGGGGUGCAGCCUUCCGAAAGGGAGAUUAAUACCGCAUAAGACCACGCUGUUUCAUGACAGAGAGGUUAAAGAUUUAUCGGAAGAAGAUGGGCAUGCGUCUGAUUAGUUAGUUGGCGGGGUAACGACUCACCAAGACGAUGAUCAGUAGGGGACCUGAGAGGGUAAUCCCCCACACUGGCACUGAGAUACGGGCCAGACUCCUACGGGAGGCAGCAGUAGGGAAUAUUGGGCAAUGGGCGCAAGCCUGACCCAGCCAUGCCGCGUGCAGGAAGAAGGCGUUAUGCGUUGUAAACUGCUUUUAUACAGGAAGAAAAAGGCCAUGCGUGGCAAACUGACGGUACUGUAUGAAUAAGCACCGGCUAACUCCGUGCCGGCAGCCGCGGUAAUACGGAGGGUGCAAGCGUUGUCCGGAUUUAUUGGGUUUAAAGGGUGCGUAGGCGGCUUUUUAAGUCAGCGGUGAAAGCCGGUCGCUCAACGACCGAACUGCCGUUGAUACUGAUUAGCUUGAGUUUGAUUGAGGCAGCCGGAAUGGAUAGUGUAGCGGUGAAAUGCAUAGAUAUUAUCCAGAACGCCAAUUGCGUAGGCAGGUUGCUAAGUCAUUACUGACGCUGAGGCACGAGAGUGCGGGGAUCAAACAGGAUUAGAUACCCUGGUAGUCCGCACCGUAAACGAUGAUGACUAGCUGUCGGGCUUUCGAGUUCGGUGGCACAGGGAAACCGUUAAGUCAUCCACCUGGGGAGUACGCCGGCAACGGUG